rnacentral:lncRNA from 1 species
UUAACUCUUUGCCUGUCAUCUAAAGAAGAUUUCAAAUUUGCCAUGUCAGUUAUUCCCUCCCCCUACAGUCUGAAGAGGGUUCUAGGUUGCUAGGUUUCCAUGCUUUGUGGGCAUUGUGAUGCAGUCAAAAGGGCUGUGAAAGAGGGAUAAGUGGAGACGCAGAGGGCAGAAGAAAAGGGGUCAAGGCAGGAUCCCGUGAAGCACACCUUUCCUAAGCAUUUUGACGAAUGAGAAUGAAGAUAAACUGGUGCAUCUGACAAGCCUUAGAUGACUGCCAGCAACUUCGGUUCUCACCGAAUUUCUGCAUUUCGGCCUUACCGAGAAGCAGCCAGUCAUACUAUCCUCAAAUUUUAUUUCUUUUCAGCCCACUUGCAUUCGCCUUUCUCCACCAUGGACUUCAGUUAGAAUGUUCCCUGCCCAUAAUUCUGCUCUGAAGGAAUCUGCCAAGUUGAUUGUUCAAAGUCCUCUCGUAGAGCAGAAUUGGAAGCACAGAGUUCGGAGUAUGAGGGUACACUGAAAGCAUUUGCUCAGGUAAAAGACAUAAAGAAAGUAAAAAGUACGAGGAGAGAGGGGUGACAGGAGAGUGGUGAGUGUAGUUUGCCAUCAGUGAAAUCUGCCACUAUCAGUAGUAAAGCAAGCAUGAGGUAAAUUUCAGCUUGACUAGUGCUGAGGCAUUGAGAAUGAACAGAAAUUGGUGAA